GCAGUCGAGCGAGAAAGUGGCUUCGGCCAUGAGUAAAGCGGCGAACGGGUGAGUAACACGUGAAUAACCUACCUGGAAGCGGGGGAUAACUUAGGGAAACCCGAGCUAAUACCGCAUAAGCUCUGAGGGCUGCGGCUCGAAGAGAAAAGCUGGCCACUACAUGUGAGCUGGUACUUCCAGAUGGGUCCGCGCCUGAUUAGCUAGUUGGUGAGGUAAUGGCUCACAAAGGCGACAAUCAGUAGCCGGCCUGAGAGGGUGAUCGGCCACACUGGAACUGAGACACGGUCCAGACUCCUACGGGAGGCAGCAGUGGGGAAUAUUGGACAAUGGGGGAAACCCUGAUCCAGCAACGCCGCGUGGAGGACGAAGGCCCUCGGGUCGUAAACUCCUGUCAGGUGGGAAGAAAAAACGCAGUUAAACAGGCUGCGUCUCUGACGGUACCACCAGAGGAGGCCCCGGCUAACUCCGUGCCAGCAGCCGCGGUAAUACGGAGGGGGCGAGCGUUAUUCGGAUUUACUGGGCGUAAAGGGCGUGUAGGCGGCUUGGCAAGUCAAAGGUGAAAGCCCUCGGCUCAACCGAGGAACUGCCUUUGAAACUGCCUCGCUAGAGACUGGGAGGGGGUAGUGGAAUUCCUGGUGUAGCGGUGAAAUGCGUAGAUAUCAGGAGGAACACCGGUGGCGAAGGCGGCUACCUGGACCAGUUCUGACGCUAAAGCGCGAAAGUGUGGGGGAGCAAACAGGAUUAGAUACCCUGGUAGUCCACACUGUAA
rnacentral:rRNA from 1 species